GCCUGGGUGGCUCAGUCGGUUGAGCGUCUGACUUUGGCUCAGGUCAUGAUCCCACAGCACAUGAGUUCGAGCCCCGUGUUGGGCU
rnacentral:tRNA from 1 species